rnacentral:rRNA from 1 species
GACGUAGGGCGCAAGCGUUGUCCGGAAUUAUUGGGCGUAAAGGGCUCGUAGGCGGUCUGUCGCGUCGGGAGUGAAAACUCAGGGCUUAACCCUGAGCCUGCUUCCGAUACGGGCAGACUAGAGGUAUGCAGGGGAGAACGGAAUUCCUGGUGUAGCGGUGAAAUGCGCAGAUAUCAGGAGGAACACCGGUGGCGAAGGCGGGUCUCUGGGCCGAUACUGACGCUGAGGAGCGAAAGCGUGGGGAGCGAACAGG